rnacentral:rRNA from 1 species
GAUGAACGCUGGCGGCGUGCCUAAUACAUGCAAGUCGAGCGAACAGACGAGGAGCUUGCUCCUCUGACGUUAGCGGCGGACGGGUGAGUAACACGUGGAUAACCUACCUAUAAGACUGGGAUAACUUCGGGAAACCGGAGCUAAUACCGGAUAAUAUAUUGAACCGCAUGGUUCAAUAGUGAAAGACGGUUUUGCUGUCACUUAUAGAUGGAUCCGCGCCGCAUUAGCUAGUUGGUAAGGUAACGGCUUACCAAGGCAACGAUGCGUAGCCGACCUGAGAGGGUGAUCGGCCACACUGGAACUGAGACGCGGUCCAGACUCCUACGGGAGGCAGCAGUAGGGAAUCUUCCGCAAUGGGCGAAAGCCUGACGGAGCAACGCCGCGUGAGUGAUGAAGGUCUUCGGAUCGUAAAACUCUGUUAUUAGGGAAGAACAAAUGUGUAAGUAACUAUGCACGUCUUGACGGUACCUAAUCAGAAAGCCACGGCUAACUACGUG